rnacentral:rRNA from 1 species
UACGUAGGGUGCAAGCGUUGUCCGGAAUUAUUGGGCGUAAAGAGCUCGUAGGCGGCUCGUCGCGUCGGCUGUGAAAACCUGGGGCUCAACCCCGGGCCUGCAGCCGAUACGGGCGAGCUAGAAUUCGGUAGGGGAGACUGGAAUUCCUGGUGUAGCGGUGAAAUGCGCAGAUAUCAGGAGGAACACCGGUGGCGAAGGCGGGUCUCUGGGCCGAUAUUGACGCUGAGGAGCGAAAGCGUGGAGAGCGAACAGG